ACACAUAUUGAUUUCAAUGUUUUUGAGCUUAUCAAACCCCACUUUCCAUACCCAUCUGGCCUUCAAAGCAAUAUAUUUAGAAAUGGGACCCUACAAAGUGAAAAUGUUUAACUUUUUUACCAGUUGGUGGCUUGUUUAUGAAUCAAAUGUUUUCUCCAGCAUGUCUCAAGGAGUAAUUAGGGAGAGGAAAACGAUCUAUCUUUAAAGCACCUUGCCCAAUAUAGCAAUUUGAAGUGGUUGUGGUGCUUGUAGUCUUUAUGCAUAGGGUUGACCUUGGUUCAAGCAAAAAUUUAUUUUUAACCAAUAAUAACCCCUUACUACUCUGUUCAACGUGAGUUCAAUUAUUAAUUUACUUCUGCUGAGCCCUAUUUGUCAAAUCGGAGUGCGGACUUUUCUACAGGUAGCCUCAAUGGUACCCUAAUUAUUUUUGCUGUUAGCUGAAAUGAUGCACAUUAUCAAGUGUGAUGUCAAAUUCGUUCAGACAAGGUGCAGGAGAGUACUGUUAAAGCACGCGGUCACUGCAAACUGUGUAAUGGUGUUUUUACCUGAAGGUAAUCUAAAGGCCCUGUAAAACUGCACAGCAGUUACUUUCUCAUGCAAACUGUCCUCUUUGCACCAUAGCUACAGCAGGUAAUUGAAGCGGUUAUAAAUAUAUGGUCACACCCCUUGUUUCCUGUCAAACUGUUUUAAAACAGCCAGAGCCUUCACUCUGCAGCUUCACUGCUAACGGGGAACUUACAUGUGCACGUCACAAAGUGUGUAAUCUGCCCAACGUUUGAUGGCAAUAAUAAGCUGAGAGCUCUGUACUAACCUACCUGAGUCUUAUUACAAUCUUAAGGUUGGUUGGAUUUGAAUUUGACAAUGUUGAAACAAAACUUUGGUAUUAUGAGUGUGGCUGUUGAGGGGGCUGCAUUAUGGGUGCUUUUAUCUCAUAGCACCCAGAGUUGAAACACCUUGGGAAAAAUAAAUGCAUCUUUAUCAGGUUGGGGAAGGAUAUUUUACAUUCCUUCUAACUUGUCAAACUCUUUCUUAGCAGGAAUUAAGAAAGCAAAGUGUGCUGUAGUAGGCCAUUUCCCCAUAAUGGGGAAGCAACUGAAAACAUUCAGCAACUUAAUUUCAGUUGGUUGUAAAUAUGAGAGUUUAUAUGAUCUUGUAUAACAGCAGCAUCUUAUAAUUCUAUGUUCAUUUUAUAAGUAAAACCUUUCAUUUAACUAACACUGGACUCUGUUCUGUGAUAUCUGUAAACUCAUUUGCCAGAAUUGCAACUGCUAAGGUGUCUUAAAUGAGAAAAAAAUGUUUUUAAAUAUUUAACUAUACUCUAGUUGGAUGCAUUAAGGUGUGAUUUGUGCUGACUUGGACCACCGUUAGUACUAAUGUGAACUCCUAACGAUCGUAAGGUGAAUAUUGGGAUUUAGUUGAAAAAACAAAUCAGUACAAUGUGUGCAUUAAAACACUGUUUCAACCUUGAUAACAUGCUAAAUCUGAAUUUGUUUACUAAUGACUUUCAAAUUCCCAAUGUCUUGACACAGCACAUCUUUUUGCUUGCACAUCCUGUUUCUAAACUAUUGUGUAGAACGGAGUACUCAAAAGUAGAACUCUUAACUACUGAAAUACUAAAACUCCUGUACUAAUCACCUUACACCGUGCUAGAGCAUUAAUGUGAGUUGUAGUUCAGCAACAAGUUUUUUUUUUUUUUUUUUUUAAGAUAAUUUCUCAUAAACUAGAUGAAUAAAACAUCAAUCAUCCAUACACCUGGAAGAUUCUUGUUGGAUGAUUUAGGAUACACCACAGGUACACUGUACACUCUUUGGAAUAUUUUAUAAGUUAAAUGAGUAACAUUACUUAUAUACUCUGUUACACUACAUUUGGUCAUAUUAGAAGAAAGGCUAGAAAUAUAUUAAUACCCAUGUUGACCACCUUGGAUUUAAAUUGUUAAACUUGCAAACUCCUCCUCAAAAUUUUACCUUAAGUGCGAAAAAAAAGUUUCCCAUAUGACUUUAUGCACUUUUCUUGGUUCUGGUUUAUAUUUCAAGUCAUAAUUAAACAAACCUGUAUAAUAUAAAGCUAUUUGAUUUUAAAAGGAUUUGUUUUUUAUUUUUCUACUAAUAUCUCUAAUUUUUGCUGUUAAUGUAUUUUUUAUUAUAAAUAAAAUGUUUGAUUAAGACCUGCAUUUUCAUCUAUUUUGUAUACAGUGCAAUGUAACUCC
rnacentral:lncRNA from 1 species